rnacentral:tRNA from 1 species
GCGCAGGUGGCGAAACUGGUAGACGCGUACGUUUGAGGGGCGUAUGUCGCAAGGCAUAAGGGUUCGAUUCCCUUCCUGCGCA